ACAUAAAAACACACCAGAAGAUCUCCGAUUUUAUUUACAAAGAUCAUAUUUUGUUAUUUAUUGAUAAAACAAGCCAUUUUACCACAGCAGGUGACACAUAUUAGGCCUGAAUAAGACUUUAGAAUUUGAAGUGGUGGUGACGAUGCCGAUAUCCAAGAUGGCGGAAUUAUACCAGUGGUCAAAUCUCAUCUAGUUUGGGUAAUUGCAUCAUUAUUUCUUUUUGUGAUUGGUGAUUUGUAAAAUUGAGAAUGAUUGAAAAAUCAGUAUUUUUUCACCCAAAGGCAUGAGUGAACAUUUGAUAAGUUUAUUGUGAUUUAAUUGGUAAUUUGGUCGACAUUUUGACAAUUAUAUUUAGCAAUAUUUCGAUAAAUGCGGACCUGCUUCUUCCUCUUUUCGCAGUAACGGUGUUUCGAUAACUCAGGUCAGUUUCACGGCAAAAAUAAGUGGUAGUUUUGAAAUUCGAAUGUGCAUUUAUUAAUGUAACGAUAAAGUACAUUUCCGAGAAUAAUUAGUGAAAGUUUCAUUAGACUUCGAGAUCUACAUUUUCGACAAAGGCCUGGUGUAAUAUUACAUACUUGAUGAAGGUAUGACACGAAUGAGUACAAGUACAUUACAUUUUUCGACGAAGGCCUUCUGUAAUUUCAUACACUUCUUACGCAACAUUCAAUAGAUUUAUUUACUGUAUUAUCAUUUCGACCAAGGCGAAUUCGACACUUCAGUUACACAAGGUUAGUAACUUUUGUUCACAAAAUCCAAAUGGAGGCAAAUACAGAACAAUCAAACUUAGUCAUUCCAGUCAGUUACUGAAGCACAGUGAAAACUGUCGGGAGCAAUGCAACUGAUGGCAUGUCAAACUUCCAGUGACUGUCCCUGUCCAUAUAUUUCAAGACAGUACAAAUCUUGUAAUCAUUUUGUUUAUGCAAUGUACGUUAUUAUGUAUCAUUUCAGCACAAUCAAACUUAGUCAUUCCAGUCGGUUACUGAAGCACAGCGAAAACUGUCUGAAUUAGUGCUGCUGAUGGCAUGUAAUUACUCUACUACCACUACCAGUGACAGUCAAUGUCCAUAUAUUUUCAAGUGUGCGAAAUUAGUACUCGUCUACUUCUUAGUGUUAUUUGAAUGCAAUGUAUGUCAUAAAAAUAUUUUUUCAACACUAUAUCAACAUUCUCAUUCCUGUCAGUUUCUGAAAAUCAGCUAAAGCAAUCGCUACCAAUGCAGCUGAUAACAGCAAUUCUUUUUGUUCCCAAUGCCCAUCCAUGACAAUAUAUUUCACGCAUGUGACAAUCAUGUAAUCAUCCUGUUUUUUGUGUUCUAUUCAUGCAAUAAAUAAAUUCAGUAUUUUCAAAUCAUUGGUGCUACAAAACUAUUCUCAUUAUAUAUUAUUCAUAUUUUAUAAAAUGCUGUCAUGUCAAAUUUUGUGUCCUAUAAAUCAUUAUGAAGUCGGCAUUUUAUAUACAACUUUUGUACUCCUCCUAAAUAAACAUACAAAUCUUGUUUUAUGUAAACUUUGUAUAUGUGACCCGUCACAGCAAAACCAGGCGCAUGUCGCUCUGAGCUUGGCAGGUUGAGACGGACUGUUCUAAUCUUUCAUUAGCGACACCAUUUCUUACCCGAGUGCCUCCUUCAUUCAUACAUCUUGUACUUUAACUCAAGAUACCCAUCUUUGAAUAUUUUUAGUAUACCAAGUACUACAAUGUCAAUGUAUUGAAGUCAUGUUCUUGUAGUGUUAUUGGCUUUCUAUUAUCUUGUCAAAAUACCACUUGGUUCUCGCAAAAUCUCAAUAAAAACAAAUGCUAUUGCAUGUAUUGCAUAUUCUAACAGCUAUCCACUGUAUCGAUUUAUCCAUCAUCUGUACUAUUUGUCACAAAAAUGUUAUAUUAUGUAAAUCAUAUUUCAUUACAUAAUGCACACUGCCAAUUACUGCUGAACCAUUCAUAAUCAUAUGUCAUUUAAAUAAAUAAUUUUCAACUUUUUAAAACCGUCUUAUAGUACUGUUCUUGUCACUUAGCUGAACCAAUUGCUCUAUAGCAUGAAAUUUCCAGAAAUGCCCCAGGGACUGAAAAGUGCUGUUUUAACAGAGAGGUGUCCUAAACUGAGAAGUCGAGUUGAAUGGAAACAACCAAUUUGGAACCAAAAACUACUGUCCUUAUUAAAGAGGUUGUCCUCAAUAGAAAGGUGUCCACAAAAAGUAGGUC